CCUACGGGAGGCAGCAGUGAGGAAUAUUGGUCAAUGGACGCAAGUCUGAACCAGCCAAGUAGCGUGCAGGAUGACGGCCCUCCGGGUUGUAAACUGCUUUUAUUUGGGAAUAAAAGGGGGCUCGUGAGCCCCGUAGUGUAUGUACCAUCAGAAAAAGUAGCGGCUAUUUCCGUGCCAGCAGCCGCGGUAAUGAGGAAGGUCCGGGCGUUAUCCGGUUUUAUUGGGUUUAAGGGGGGCGUAGGCCGGCUUUUAAGUCAGCUGUGAAAGUCCGCGGCUCAACCGUGGAAUUGCAGUUGAAACUGGAGGCCUUGAGUGCACACAGGGAUGCCGGAAUUCAUGGUGUAGCGGUGAAAUGCUUAGAUAUCAUGAAGAACUCCGAUCGCGAAGGCAGGUGACCGGGGUGCAACUGACGCUGAGGCUCGAAAGUGCGGGUAUCAAACAGGAUUAGAUACCCUUGUAGUC
rnacentral:rRNA from 1 species